AGAAGUCUGCGGUGUACGGAGUCCGGAAAAACGUAAUCCACAAUUAUUAUACGGGAGCUUGCGUUCGGGCGGAUAGGCAAGGUCUGUUUCAACCCGCGUAGACGGCUGUUGAGCAAAACGGAAAGCCCGAAGCCGACCGACAGAGCACCCACCUGCGAGAAAGCGGGUUUCACCUUUUCGGGGUGCGGCACAGGCGGAUUUUCA
rnacentral:other from 1 species